rnacentral:sRNA from 1 species
AGAAGAAAGUGUCUCUCUUCCUGCUUAAACCUCUGUCUCUGACGGUCCCUGCCAAUCUCUCUGGUCGACCCCAACACACUAGGAGGACAGACACAGGCUCCAAACUCCACUAAGUGACCAGAGCUGUGAUUGUGCCCACUGAGUGGACUGCGUUGUCAGGGAGUGAGUGCUCCAUCAUCGGGAGGAUCCAAGCAGGACCGCCAUGGAGGAAGGUCAAUAUUCAGAGAUCGAGGAGCUUUCCAGGAGGCGGUGUUGCAGGCGCGGGACUCAGAUCGUGCUGCUGGGGCUGUUGACCGCCGCUCUGUGGUCCGGGCUGCUGACUCUGCUUCUCCUGUGGCACUGGGACACCACACAGAGUCUAAAACAGCUGGAAGAGAGGGCUGCCCGGAACGUCUCUCAAGUUUCCAAGAACUUGGAAAGACACCACGGUGACCAGAUGGCGCAGAAAUCCCAGUCCACGCAGAUUUCACAGGACCUGGAGGAACUUCGAGCUGAACAGCAGAGAUUGAAAUCUCAGGGUAAGAGACUGGGAUCUGGGGUAUGGAGCCAGAUUGGGUAGGAAGGAGGGAGUGUCUCAGUGUCUCAGAGCCCUGGGGAACCAUGAGGCUGGGGGGCCAGGCUUGGGGGCCACCCUCGGCCUGUACACAUCCUCCCUGAGACCAGCCCUGCGCUCCUACACACACCAGACUUGGAGCUGUCCUGGAACCUGAACGGGCUUCAAGAAGAUCUGAGCAGCUUCAAGUCCCAGGAAUUGAACGAGAGGAACGAAGCUUCAGAUUUGCUGGAAAGACUCCGGAAGGAGGUGACGAAGCUAAGGAUGGAGUUGCAAGUGUCCAGCGGCUUUGUGUGCAACACGUGUCCUGAAAAGUGGAUCAAUUUCCAACGGAAGUGCUACUACUUCGGCAAAGGCACCAAGCAGUGGGUCCACGCCCGGUACGCCUGUGACGACAUGGAAGGGCAGCUGGUCAGCAUCCAUAGCCCGGAGGAGCAGGACUUCCUAACCAAGCAUGCCAGCCACAUUGGCUCCUGGAUUGGCCUUCGGAACUUGGACCUGAAGGGGGAGUUUAUCUGGGUGGAUGGGAGCCACGUGGACUACAGCAACUGGGCUCCAGGGGAGCCCACCAGCCGGAGCCAGGGCGAGGACUGCGUGAUGAUGCGGGGAUCCGGCCACUGGCACGACGCCUUCUGCGACCGUAAGCUGGGCACCUGGGUGUGUGACCGGCUGGCCACAUGCACGCCGCCAGCCAGCGAAGGUUCCGCGGAGUCCGUGGGACCCGAUUCAAGACCAGGCCCUGACGGCCGCCUGCCCGCCCCCUCUGCCCCUCUCCGCUCUUGAGCAUGGAUACAGCCAGGCCCAGAGCAAGACCCUGAAGACCCCCAACCACGGCCUAAAAGCCUCUUUGUGGCUGAAAGUUCCCUGUGACAUUUUCUGCCACCCAAACGGAGGCAGCUGACACAUCUCCCGCUCCUCUAUGGCCCCUGCCUCCCAGGAGUACACCCCAACAGUACCCUCUCCAGAUGGAAGUGCCCCCA